GACGAACGCUGGCGACGUGCCUAAUACAUGCAAGUCGAGCGAAGUUUUUCUGGUGCUUGCACUAGAAAAACUUAGCGGCGAACGGGUGAGUAACACGUAAAGAACCUGCCUCAUAGACUGGGACAACUAUUGGAAACGAUAGCUAAUACCGGAUAACAGCAUUAACUGCAUGGUUGAUGUUUAAAAGUUGGUUUUGCUAACACUAUGAGAUGGCUUUGCGGUGCAUUAGCUAGUUGGUGGGGUAAAGGCCUACCAAGGCGACGAUGCAUAGCCGACCUGAGAGGGUGAUCGGCCACACUGGGACUGAGACACGGCCCAGACUCCUACGGGAGGCAGCAGUAGGGAACCUUCCGCAAUGGGCGAAAGCCUGACGGAGCAACGCCGCGUGAGUGAAGAAGGAUUUCGGUUCGUAAAGCUCUGUUGUUAGGGAAGAAUGAUUGUGUAGUAACUAUACACAGUAGAGACGGUACCUAACCAGAAAGCCACGGCUAACUACGUG
rnacentral:rRNA from 1 species